rfam:Triticum aestivum genome assembly, contig: Triticum_aestivum_CS42_TGACv1_scaffold_000912_1AL
GUAGUACUCCCUCCGUCCGAAAAUACUUGUCAUUAAAAUAAAUAAGAAGAGAUGUAUCUAUAAUUAAAAUACAUCUAGAUAUAUUUUCUUUUAUUUAUUUCGAUGAUAAAUAUUUCCGAAUGAAGGGAGUACUUU